AAUGAACGUUGGCGGCAUGGAUUAGGCAUGCAAGUCGAGCGAGAAGUGUAGCAAUACACGGAAAGCGGCGGAAGGGAGAGUAAUACGUGGGAAUCUGCCCUUAGACCUGGGAUAGCAGCGGGAAACUGCUGGUAAUACCAGAUAAUGUCUAUGGACCAAAGGUGUGAUUCCGUCUAGGGAUGAGCCCACGUCCUAUUAGCUAGUUGGUAGGGUAAUGGCCUACCAAGUCGAUGAUGGGUAGCGGGUGUGAGAGCAUGACCCGCCUCACUGGGGCUGAGACACUGCCCAGACACCUACGGGUGGCUGCAGUCGAGAAUCUUCGGCAAUGGGCGCAAGCCUGACCGAGCGAUGCCGCGUGCGGGAUGAAGGCCUUCGGGUUGUAAACCGCUGUCGAGGGGGAGCAACUUCCAUAGAGUUAUCUUUAUGGAUUGAGUGAUCCCUGGAGGAAGGACGGGCUAAGUUCGUGCCAGCAGCCGCGGUAAUAC
rnacentral:rRNA from 1 species